GUUUCACCAUGUUGGCCAGGCUGGUCUCGAACUCCUGACCUCAGGUGAUCUACCCUCCUCGGCCUCCCAAAGUGUUGGGAUUACAGGCGUGAUAUACUGUAAUCACGCCCGGCCAAUAUACUGCAUUUUGUAAAAGCAUUUAUUUAUUAUUAUUUUGUUUUGAGACUGAGUCUCACUCUGUCGCCCAGGCUGGUGCAAUGGCACGGUCUCAGCUCACUGCAACCUCCACCUCCCAGGAGAAUCGCUUGAACCCAGGAGGCAGAGGUUGCAGUGAGACAAGAUCGCACCACUGCACUCCAGCCUGGGCAACAGAGUGAAACCCCAUCUCAAAAAAAAAAUAAAAA
rnacentral:lncRNA from 1 species